rnacentral:rRNA from 1 species
GACUACAAGUGUAUCUAAUCCUGUUCGAUCCCCACGCUUUCGUGCUUCAGCGUCAGUCGGAAGCCGGCAUGCUGCCUUCGCAAUCGGGGUUCUGCGUGAUAUCUAUGCAUUUCACCGCUACACCACGCAUUCCGCAUACUUCUCUUCCACUCAAGAGCGCCAGUUUCAAUGGCGGGAAGGGGUUGAGCCCCUCAAUUUGACCACUGACUUAACGCCCCGCCUACGCACCCUUUAAACCCAAUAAAUCCGGAUAACGCUCGCAUCCUCCGUAUUACCGCGGCUGCUGGCACGGAGUUAGCCGAUGCUUAUUCUGCGGGUACUCUCCCUCCGGGCACACGUGCCCGGCAUUGCUCCCCGCCUAAAGAGGUUUACAAUCCAUAGGACCGUCUUCCCUCACGCGACUUGGCUGGUUCAGGCUCCCGCCCAUUGACCAAUAUUCCUCACUGCAGCCACCCGUAGG